AAUUACAUUUGUGUCAAAUUAAACGCACGCAACUUUUGCAAAAACAAACAAAAAUAUACAUUGAUAAAAGAAAAAAACUAUCUGAAAAUAAAAACAAUCAACUAACUAGCAAAAAAAUGAACAUCAUCUUUAAAUAUACUGCAUUCUUUGUUUAUAGUUUUACAAGUUUCACUUUCACUAAACAUAGUUUUGAAUGUGCUGCAAAUGUUUUCGUUUUCACUUUCCAAGUUUUUGUUUGCGAUUCGCAAAUUUACGUUCUCCAUUUUGACACAAACCUCUCGUGAGGGGCGGGCUUAACAGCGGUUCGCUCUUAUUGGCUUUUGAGAUUUUGAUUGACAGCUCAUUGAACCGGAACCCCGGAACAGAAGGUGGCGGUAGUGCACCAAUAAGCUGGAUCCCAACCGCUGUUAAAAAUAACAAGAAGAAGACGAUCGGACGCUGUUUAUCAGCGGAGCUGCAAGUAGUCUAAACAAACGGUAAUAAGAGUAUAUUAAAGAACAUUAUUGAUAAUACACGGAUAUUUUACACGUCAGCAGAGGAAUUACAAUAGUUCAAGAUGAGUAAUCGAGAGGCUCACGGUCCGGAGCACCAACACCAUCCUCCUCGGCCGGACAAUCGAGGCAGCCUGAGGACCAAAGAGUGUAAUUUCUCCAGAAUUGAGCCUCUGUGGUGUGAUGUUUGGUCAGCUGUCUCUUGUACUAUGAAGAACUGCAAUGGAAGAAGAGACAGUGCUUGAUUCGGCAGGUGAACUGCACCUAUUUUAUGGUGGAGCAACUUUUUCAAGAGGAAAUUGUUGACAGUGUCACAGAGGAUGAUGGUGUGGUCGUGGUGCCAGAGAUCUAUUGUCCUUUGUCAGACCAAAAGCCUUUGAUAUCACCAUUGAAUGUCUAGGAGUUAUACCAACAGACACUUGAUGUCAUCCAAAGACUGUGCUCCAUUUAAAUUGUAAAAGUCAUUUUCAGGUUUACAAGAUACAAAAGCUGGUUCACAGAUGUACCUUUCCUUUAAAACUAUUUCCCACCUGUAAUCACAAUGGAGACACAUCUCUGACUGCUGGGCUUCCCCUCUUAUUGUGUUCGGAUUCAUAUGCAUCUGCAGGGUUAUUCAUGGCAACACUUUAUAGCGUUGUGCUGGUAAUUUAUCUUUAUAUAUCAUGCCUUCUCACUACAUCUGUCAGCCUGUGCUUUACAUAUCUGAGAGUCAACGCAGAUAAACAUGAAGGACAAAUGCAAUGCAAGACGUUAUGCAUGUUAUAUAUCGGCAUAUGGAUGAUUAGAUUAGAAACUGCUUUCUGUUGGUGUGUUUAAACAUCACAUGACAUAGAAAAUUAACUGUCCUCCAUUUUUCUCCUUCGAUUUAAUUUGUACUUUAGACGUCAAUGGGAACUAUGGGACGUAUAAUGGGAAUGUGAACUAUCCCUUUAAGACUCUGUAAACCAUUCAGAUGCAUGUAAAAUCAUUAACAACUGUUAAACAGCAUCUAUAAAUGAUAAAAAAAAAACAUUACUAUUGGGAGAAACGUUUUGUCUAGACAUUUGAGUUCAUUUCAACUGACACUCUGUAAAAGUAAGCAUC